rnacentral:misc_RNA from 1 species
AUAAGGGAUUAAUUAUGGCUUGAAUAAUUAUAAACUAGAUCAUUAAGAAGUCAAGAAUAUAUGAUACUUUUUUUAUUAAUAAUAAAAUCAUAAUUGGGUGCAUAAUAAUUAUUACGUUUUGCCUUAAUUUCUCUAUGAAAUCUUGCAUCAGUAUUACUUUUCGAGUGAAAUUAAUGAAAUAAAACCUGUAAGUAUCGGUCGAAUGAAACUAAAAACAAAACAAAAAGAACAUGUAACUGCAUAUUUUGAAAUGUUUUGAGGUGCAUCUAAAGAACUGAGUUUUAACAGGUUUUAAUCUUGUAAUAACUAGCGAUUGUGUAUAUCACUCUAGAACCAAGUGCCCUAGUUACGUUUGGUUGGCAUGAAGAAACUGAAAGAACCAAGAUGUCUGCAAAAGUUGGCACAAUGGUCCCUGAUAUCAAAAAAGUUCCACUUCAGAUUUCACCGCAUUUACAAACGUACGAUUGCCGAAUGAUCAUAAAUAAUUGCGAUAUGAAUGCAGUAACUGACUAUAAGCAAAGAAUACAGAUGUCUCUCUGAAUUCUUUGCUAUAAGUAUUCAAUAAUUAUCUUAGAAUUUUCAAAUUUACAACUGUUUAAAUUAGAAAGUGGAAUCGUAGUUCCACGUGACAUUCCCCUCUACCGGUUUAACAUUUUGGCGUAAACCGCAAAAAUUUUCGCGUGCAGUUUUCCUUAUUGGCAAAAGCGGUGAAUCACGACGAAUGCGUGGCACAAUGUAACGGGAAUUUGCCUGAUCAGUCGACAGGAAUCUCUCCGGAUCCUUCCAUACCCGGCAGUACCGGCUCACCCGGCACGAAUUGUAUUGGCUACUCGGCUUGCAAUUACUUGUCAAAUACAAGAUGGAACUCGAUGGAAGAAAUCGCUUCGAGCCUGAUGCUAGACAAAAUAAUGGUAUCCACUAUUUGGAUCCACCUAUUAAAUCAGAAUCUGAUAAAAAAGAAUAUAGAGUUAUCAAAUUGGCAAAUGGAUUAACUGCGUUGCUCAUCUCAGAUUUUUGUUUAAAGUCUAACUUUGAUGCAGAAGGAAAACCGCAAACAGGCGAUAUUGCUGGAAAUUAUGUUAAUUUCUUAAACCAUGAGUCUUGGCAGGAAGAAGAAAAACUGGCUAGUUGUUCUUUAACGCUGGAUGUUGGAAACUUCUCUGAUCCGGAAGAAGUUUAUGGCUUGGCUCUUUGUUUGAAGCAUAUGAUCGUCGCAGGAUCUGAGAAGUACCCACAGGAAAAUGAUUUUGAUGAAUUUGUUAAAACGUUUGAUGGUUUUCAAUGUGCUAUAGCAGAGGGUGAUCAUACCACGUUCUUCUUUGAGAUAAAAGAAGAUUACUUACUCCCUGCCGUGGACCGUUUCACACAACUUUUUAUUAAUCCUCUCUUAAAGAGAAAUGCAUUUAACAAAAUAAAACAAGCUGCAGCCAAUGAAUUUCAGUUGAAUGAAGGAAUUGAUUGCAAUCGUAAACAUAUGCUGUUGGGAAGUCUACUUAAGCCUGGUCAUCCUGCUUCACGAUUUUUGGGGGGCAACUUAAAAAUAAUACAAAAUUAUAUUACGGAUGAUAAAUUAUUCGAGGUACUAUAUAUCUUUUAUAAACGAUAUUACAGUGCACAUAGAAUGACAGUGGCAAUACAAGCUCAAUUUUGUUUAGAUGUAUUGGAAACAUACGUCAAGGAUUAUUUUUCGGCAAUUCCAAAUAAUGGACUGCUGCCCGAUGAUCUUUCUCGAUUUGACUGUGGUGUGACUGCCUUUGAUAUUGAGAAGUUUCGAAAAAUCUAUAAAAUGAAACCUGUUGACAAUACUUGUGAGGUUAUGCUUUCAUGGAUAAUGCCUCCUGAGUUUAGACAUCGCAAUGAUAAAGUUCAUAGAUACGCUGCAUGGAUUUUGGGACAUGAAGGUAAAGGCAGUUUAGCCAAUUAUUUUCGUAAAAAACUCUGGUGCUUGGAACUGAGCGCUGGAAUUAAAGGAUCCAGUUUCGAAAGCAAUAGCUUUUAUUCUUUAUUCAAUAUCAGUGUGACUUUAACCGAUGAAGGCCGGAAGCAUUUAAGGGAAAUCUUGGAUUCUAUAUUUUCUUAUAUCAAUUUAUUACAUAGAAAAAAUCCAUGCAAAUCACUGUACGAUGAAAUAAAACGAACAAUGGAUUUCGAGUUCAGAUUCGUUGAUGAACUGCCUGUCAACGUAAAUACAUAUUUCCUUUCCUGGGGAAUGCAAAAAUAUUCUAAAUCAACUGAUUAUGUCAUUGGCAAAUAUUUAUGUCCCGAGUUUAACCAACAAGUAAUUAAAGACUAUUUGCAAAAUAUCACUCCAGACAAUGUUAACAUUAUGAUUGCUGAUAAACAAUUUGACGAUGCUAUGUUGAAAAAUGUUGAACCUCGGCUCCGAACGAAAUAUAUUUGCGAAGAAAUACCUACAGAGUGGGUGGACCGAUGGAGAACAAUAGAGCCUUAUGCCGAAUUUCAUUUACCAGAACCGAAUACUUUUCUACCAGACGAUUUCUCUUUGAUUUCACCCACUACAGAUAUUUUCAAAUAUCCCGUCGAAAUUUACCACGACGAGAUAGCUGAAAUUUGGUAUAAACCAGAUUACAAAUACAAACGUCCUCAAUGUUACAUGAAUGUUUUGCUUAUCUUCGAAUGUGCAUUUGUUUCGCCAAAACAUGCAGUUGUGUUGGACGUAUUAAUUCCUGUUCUGAAGCAUUUACUCGCAGAGCAAUUGUAUCCUGCUAGCUUGGCGAAACUUAAUCACUCUAUCGAUGUGGGUUCAAGAAGCAUGACCAUAAAAGUUAAUGGAUUUAAUCAAAAAGUGCCGAGCUUACUACAUAUUAUACUGAAAUAUCUGGUAGACCUGCCCAAUUUGGUAACAGAAGAAUUAUUUAACAGCAAAAAAGCAACAAAACUGAAGGAGUAUCGAGAUCACUUUAUAUUGCCAUCGAAUUUAAUAUGGGAUGUGCAUAAGUCUAUCACAGUGAUGACAAAUUGGACAACCGUUGACAAGCAUGCAGUUCUAAGUACACUUGAGUUUGACGAAUUUAAAUUUCUUGCAUCUAUGUAUCUGAGUCGAGCUAGUAUUCGUUUCCUUGCACAAGGGAAUAUUCUUGAAAAUGAGGUCAAUGGUUAUGUAAAGUAAAAAACAUCGAUCCUAGUGUAACAAUGUCGGCUGUAAUGAAUUACUAUCAAGUGGGUUUCACAGAUCAAGAAUUAAGACUCAAGAUUGAACUGUUAACAUUUAUUAUGAAACAACAAAAGUUUGACAAAUUGAGGAUACAGCAUCAAUUGGGUAAUGGUGGGAUGUACGAGUUUCAACUAUCACUUAAUGUUAUUGGUUUGAUAAUUAAUAUUGUGAAGAAUACUG